GACGGACCACACGAACGUUAUUCGGAAUUACUGGGCUUAAAGGGUGCGUAGGCUGUGCAGAAAGUUGGGUGUGAAAUCCCUCGGCUUAACCGAGGAAGUGCGCCCAAAACUACUGUGCUGGAGGGAGACAGAGGUGAGCGGAACUUAGGGUGGAGCGGUGAAAUGCGUUGAUAUCCUAAGGAACACCGGUGGCGAAAGCGGCUCACUGGGUCUUUUCUGACGCUGAUGCACGAAAGCUAGGGUAGCGAACGGG
rnacentral:rRNA from 1 species